rnacentral:rRNA from 1 species
GGUACCUUAGGAGGAAGCCCCGGCUAACUACGUGCCAGCAGCCGCGGUAAUACGUAGGGGGCAAGCGUUAUCCGGAAUCACUGGGCGUAAAGCGCAUGCAGGCGGCCUGUUAAGUCAGAUGUGAAAGACCCGGGGCGUUAACCUCGGAAUUGCAUUUGUAAACUAGGCAGGCUAGAGUCUUGUAGAGGGGGUAGGAAUUUCAGGUGUAGCGGUGAAAUAGCGUAGAGAUCUGAAGGAAUACCAGUGGCGAAGGCGGCCCCCCUCGGACAAAGAACUGACGCUCAGAUGCGAAAGCGUGGGGAGCAAACAGGAUUAGAUACCCUGGUAG